CCUACGGGGGGCAGCAGUGGGGAAUAUUGGACAAUGGGGGGAACCCUGAUCCAGCCAUGCCGCGUGUGUGAAGAAGGCCCUCGGGUUGUAAAGCACUUUCAGUGAGGAAGAACGCCUGGUGGUUAAUACCCAUCAGGAAAGACAUCACUCACAGAAGAAGCACCGGCUAACUCCGUGCCAGCAGCCGCGGUAAUACGGAGGGUGCGAGCGUUAAUCGGAAUUACUGGGCGUAAAGCGCGCGUAGGUGGCUUGAUAAGCCGGUUGUGAAAGCCCCGGGCUCAACCUGGGAACGGCAUCCGGAACUGUCAAGCUAGAGUGCAGGAGAGGAAGGUAGAAUUCCCGGUGUAGCGGUGAAAUGCGUAGAGAUCGGGAGGAAUACCAGUGGCGAAGGCGGUCUUCUGGACUGACACUGACACUGAGGUGCGAAAGCGUGGGUAGCAAACAGGAUUAGAUACCCGAGUAGUC
rnacentral:rRNA from 1 species